rnacentral:rRNA from 1 species
GACGAACGCUGGCGGCGUGCUUAACACAUGCCAGUCGAACGAUGAAGAAAGGAAUCGAAGCUUCGGCAGAAAUUCAUUUCGGAUUAGUGGCGGACGGGUGAGUAACGCGUGAGCAACCUACCUCUUACAAAGGGAUAGCCUCGCGAAACCGGGAUGAAUACCAUAUAACAUUGCGACGACGCAUUUCGAUGCAAUCAAAGCUACGGCGGUAAGAGAUGGGCUCGCGUCCCAUUAACCGGAUGGUGAGGUAACGGCUCACCAUAGUGACGAUGGGUAACCGGUCUGAGAGGGUGAACGGUCACACUGGAACUGAGACACGGUCCAGACUCCUACGGGAGGCAGCAGUGGGGAAUAUUGCACAAUGGAGGGAACUCUGAUGCAGCGACGCCGCGUGAGUGAUGAAGGAAUUAGUUUCGUAAAGCUCUGUUCUAUGGGAAGAAAAGGACUGUACCAUAGGAGAAAGCUCCGGCUAACUACGUG